rnacentral:rRNA from 1 species
AUGAACGCUGGCGGCGUGCCUAACACAUGCAAGUCGAACGGACUUAAGACGCUGAUGAGGCUUCGGCGGAUUCUUGUUUAAGUUAGUGGCGGACGGGUGAGUAACGCGUGGGCAACCUGCCUCAUACUGGGGGAUAGCAGUUGGAAACGACUGAUAAUACCGCAUAAGCGCACAGAGUCGCAUGACUCAGUGUGAAAAAACUCCGGUGGUAUGAGAUGGGCCCGCGUCAGAUUAGCUAGUUGGUAAGGUAACGGCUUACCAAGGCGACGAUCUGUAGCCGGACUGAGAGGUCGGACGGCCACAUUGGGACUGAGACACGGCCCAAACUCCUACGGGAGGCAGCAGUGGGGGAUAUUGCACAAUGGAGGAAACUCUGAUGCAGCGACGCCGCGUGAAGUGAAGAAGUAUUUCGGUAUGUAAAGCUCUAUCAGCAGGGAAGAAAGACUCGCAAGAGAGAUGACGGUACCUGACUAAGAAGCCCCGGCUAACUACGUGCCAGCCGCCGC